rnacentral:piRNA from 1 species
UCCUUACAGCCACAUCUGCAGUCUUGCACA